GCCGCAGCCCCCUGGUAACUUCUUGUGUGUUUCUUGGUUUUCAGAGAUCCCCCUGUACUUUGUGGACUUGCAGGAUGACUUAGACGACUAUUAUUGCCAGAGGGCUGCUUGAUAUCUUCCGGGACUUCGGUAACAAUGAAGAAGACUUCCUCACGGUAAUGGAGAUUGUAGUCAGAUUGUCAGAAGAUGCAGAGCCCACAGUGCGGACUGAGCUGAUGGAACAGAUUCCUCCUAUUGCCAUUUUUUUACAAGAAAACAGAUCAAAUUUUCCAGUGGUGCUCUCUGAAUAUCUCAUACCUAUUGUAGUGAGGUACCUCACAGAUCCAAACAAUCAGCUCAAGUUCAGGUAUUAUCCGCUGCACUGAGAGCUGCACAGCUCGACUGCGUGAAUGAAGCUGAGAGCAAGCCAACAGCAGGCCUAAAGGAAGUGUCCAUUUCACAUCCCAGCUCUGCCUCUGACAAUCAGAUCGCUCUGGCGGCCUCAUCAUCUCAGGAUGAGCUCUUU
rnacentral:lncRNA from 1 species